CUCAUAUCUGCAGUUGUCCCCUGUUGACUAUUGAAAUCUAACAAGAAGGACGAAUUGCUUCAGGUUUUUGUGAAUGUGUUGCCUGAUGUUGCUAAGCACAGAAGGCUGUCAAUUGUUGUGUACCUAUUAAGGACUUUGGGAGAAUGUGAUAGUUCGGCUUCAUUGCUUGUCCUCCUUUUCCGAUCCUUAGUUUCAAGGAAAGGAUCAUCUUGCCUUGGUGAUGCACACAGUUCAGAUAACUUUACAUCUUCGCACAAAG